CGUAACAAGUGACCAACCUGUCCUAGGGUGGGGGGACAACCUGGGGAAACCCGGACUAAUACCACAUGAUGUCCCGAUCUCUCAUGGGAAUGGGACCAAAGAGGGCCUCUGCUUGCAUGCUCUCGCCAAAGGAGGGGGUCGCUUCGUAUCAGCUUGUUGGUAGGGUAACGGCUUACCAAGGCUACGACGCGUAGUGGGUCUGAGAGGACGACCCGCCACAUUGGGACUGAGAUACGGCCCAG
rnacentral:rRNA from 1 species